rnacentral:rRNA from 1 species
UUCCGGUUGAUCCUGCCGGACCCUACUGCUAUCGGGGGAGGACUAAAACAUGCAAGUCGUGCGCCUCCAAGCCAUGGUGGAGACGCGGCAUAUGGCUCAGUAACACGUGGCUAACCCACCCUUGAGACGGAGAAAACCCCGGGAAACUGGGGCUAAUCCCCGAUAAGAGAAGACACCUGGAACGGGUCUCCUCUCAAAAGGCGCCUAGACCAUGCUUUUAGGCGCUGCUCAAGGACGGGGCCGCGGCCGAUCAGGUUGUUGGUGAGGCAACGGCUCACCAAGCCUAUAACCGGUACGGGCCGUGAGAGCGGGAGCCCGGAGAUGGGCACUGAGACAAGGGCCCAGGCCCUACGGGGCGCAGCAGUUGCGAAAACUCCGCAAUGCACGAAAGUGUGACGGGGCUACCCCGAGUGCCGUCCGCUGAGGGCGGCUUUUCCCCGGUGUAAGGAGCCGGGGGAAUAAGGAGAGGGCAAGUCUGGUGUCAGCCGCCGCGGUAAUACCAGCUCUCCGAGUGGUAGGGAUGAUUAUUGGGCUUAAAGCGUCCGUAGCCGGCCCGGCAAGUCUUCCGUUAAAUCCAACGAUUCAAUCGUCGGACUGCGGGAGAUACUGUUGGGCUAGGAGGCGGGAGAGGCCGACGGUAUUCUCGGGGUAGGGGUAAAAUCCUAUAAUCCCGGGAAGACCACCAGUGGCGAAGGCGGUCGGCUAGAACGCGCUCGACGGUGAGUGACGAAAGCUGGGGGAGCGAACCGGAUUAGAUACCCGGGUAGUCCCGGCUGUAAACGAUGCGGGCUAGGUGUUGGGGCGGCUACGGGCCGCUUCAGUGCCGCAGGGAAACCGUUAAGCCCGCCGCCUGGGGAGUACGG